GUAUGUCUUCAGAAAUACAUAUGCUAAAAUUGGAACAAUACAGAGAAGAAUACCAUGGCCCCUGCACAACUGUAACAUGCAAAUUUGUGAAGUGUUCCAUAUUUCA